rnacentral:rRNA from 1 species
ACGGAGGGUGCAAGCGUUAUCCGGAAUCACUGGGUUUAAAGGGUGCGUAGGCGGAAGAAUAAGUCAGAGGUGAAAGCCCGUCGCUUAACGACGGAACUGCCUUUGAUACUGUUUUUCUUGAAUGAAGUUGAGGUUAGCGGAAUGUGGCAUGUAGCGGUGAAAUGCAUAGAUAUGCCAUAGAACACCGAUUGCGAAGGCAGCUAACUGGACUUUUAUUGACGCUGAGGCACGAAAGCGUGGGGAGCGAACAGG